rnacentral:pre_miRNA from 1 species
AAUGUACUCCCUCCAUCCCAUAUUAAUUGUCGCUCAAACGGAUGUAUCUAGCACUGAAAUACGUCUAGAUACAUCCGUUUGAGCGACAAUUAAUAUGGGACGGAGGGAGUAUUUG